CAUCAAACGCCUUUUGGCGUGUUCAAUACAGAGGAGCGGGGUGGAAAACGCCAGUUGUUCACGGGGAAAUGCUUCCAAAACCACAAUAGACUUACCUGUUGCUGCAGUGUGGGGGGAAAAACGUUUGUGGAAAUGACAGGCAGGUUUUAUUUUCAGAAGAGACAGUGGCGAAAGUACAGAUGAAGGUGUGAAGACAGUCAACAUGUCCAGACUGUCUAGGAAACCUCUCACAUGAGCAGCCUCUCCCCUGCAUGUCUCUGGCUACCACACACCUAAUCAGUCCUGAUUGGAUGCACUGCAAGGGACGAGGAAGCCAGCCUUUCAGAAGUUUUGAUGACACGACAGACGAAAGCGAUGGGCUCCCUUAAAUAAAGCCUUCAUCAGGCACUGAGCAGAAACAUCUGGGUCUGUUUAAAGCGUCCGUUUUACAGUAGUCAGAUCUCCAACUGUUCCUCUAGUGUCAUCCCAAUUUACCUUAACACCCUUUACUUCACAGCUCUUGUUCUAACACAAUCCGCUUUAUAAUCACACGCGCUCAAGCUUCCAAACAAAUACACACACAUGCAUCUCUGCUCUCAGCCCCAUCUACACAAACCUAAGAGAGCCAAAAUCAGCAUCAGUGAACACAAUAGCAAUUAGUGAGGGGGACAAUUUGUUCACAUCUGGAGUGUAUUUCCUUGCCACCAGAGUGCCCAGCAAUCUCUUCUUUCAGGGUCCUGGCGUGGUGGGAAAUGACUAUGUGUUUUUUACGUGUUUUGUUUAAAACAGAUGGGCGGUUUACAUUAGCGAAGAUGGGCGAUAAACAGCUUAGAAAGGAUGAGGGAAACCACCGGGACACAAAGAGAGAGACACCGCCAUCCCUUCCAGCUGCACAGACAUGGCCCUGACGCCUGUUGUGGACAUACAUGAUUUUCUCGCUCGGUUUCGUUUUGGCCAGCAUUUCUUUAAUUACAGUUGUGUAAAAAUAGGUUAUGUUAUUCUAGUAUGUUUUAAUGAGCCUGGGUCUCAGGCUGAGAACAAAUUUAUCCUGUUUGGUUCAUGGGCUGAAAAGGUUCAACAAUCGUGGAUUUAGACAGGACUGUGGGGUGUAAUUAUUUUAUUUUUAUUUUGUUUUUUGCUAAUAUUGGGCAUAAUUUAACCACAAAUGUCCAGCGACACAGCACUGCCAACAUCCAAGUUUUGAGAGGAUUGAUUAAAAUACACCUCUCACGCCAUAAGAAUCAAUGUGAUUAUUGCUGAAUACACAAAUGUUACACAACAUGCAAAUACCUGCUAAGAUGAUGUCGAGCCCAGUGGUGUUGCACUGAAAGAUAGCUUGUGAUUACAUCCUGUGCAUGUGAUGUAACCUUUGAGCAUCUGCUGCGAGAUCAGUUCUGGGUAGCACAGAGUAAAAGGUCUGGAAGUCUAUCUCAGCUGGGACUGACUUUUCGGUGAUGAGGUGGGGUAUCAGGUCGCAGACAGCCGGCACCAAUGGUCUGCAGCAGGUUGAUAAGGUAGAUGGGUGGAACACAGAGUGUCCUGUCCAGCUACACAGCCACGUGACGAAGGCACGCCGCUGCCAGAGGAGGAUCCUGGCUGAGAGGAAAACAGGCAUUUUGUCAACAGAGUUUUGUUAGUAUUGGCUAGUUUUCUUAACGCCUCUAAAGCUAAAUAAAUCUUAGGAGUCAAAAUCUUUAGAAUCAAAAUGAAUUAGUUACUUUUUUGUUAAUUUUAUGUUAGAUUCAGUUGUUGUCCACAUCACUAAGGCACGUCACAGGGGGAGGUGACAUGAAAACUGAACAUAAAAACAGGCAUUUUGUCAACAGAGUAAUCAAAAUUAAUCUUCACAGCCAAAAUUACUUUUUUUUUUUAACCUAUUUGUUAGUUUUAUGUUAGAUUCAGUUUGUGUCCACGUCACUAAUAAUGCUGCCACAGGAGGAUCCUAGCUGAGAGAAAAACUAAAAACAGGCAUUUUGUCAACAGAGUUUUGUUACUUUUGGCUAGCUUUUCUAACACCUCUAAAUCUUAAUAAAACCUUCCAGCUGAAAUUA